rnacentral:rRNA from 1 species
CUUGGUGAUGGGGAACAUCUUGGACGCCCAUUCGGGUAACAGAGUAGCUAUUAUGGCAAAGCUAGAAUACAUUGCUGGGGCAACAAAGCUACCAUUAUGGGAAAGCUAGAACACGUUGCUACAGACAAAGAUGGGAACCGUUGUGAGAAAGCUAGAACACGUUGUCGUAGGUAACAAAGGGGACCAUCGUGAGAAAGCUCAAACACAUUGCCGCGGGUAACAAAGUGACUGUCAUGAGAAAGCUAGAACACGUUGUUAUGGGCAACAAAGUGACCGUCAUGAGAAAGCUAAAACACGUUGCUAUGAGCAACAAGGUGACAAUCAUGACCGGCUUGAAUAUUUUGUUGGGGGACUUCGGUAACGGUAGAAUCCACUCAUUGGGGGACCGUUGCUGUGGGACUCACUUGUAAUGCUACGUCGCUUGGGUAUCGGCCAACGGAAUGACCCACUAGACUCUAAAUUACGCCAAGCGGUGUUGGCUUUACUCUCUCUUGAUAUCUUUUCACGCCUCGAGUGCUACUCUCGUAGUCCAUCAAUGUGUGUUUUGGGUCAGGGGAAGGCUGAUGCACAGUGUAUGUCAUGGCAUGUGAGUGGUAAUGGGAUUGUGUGCAAUGAUUGGCUCUCUGCUUGUACAGCGAACACCCCUCGUCCAUCAUUCUUCAGUCUCGUUUGAAGAGCUAGUCACACCUUGAGCAUGCCGGUGUUCCUGCAUUGUAUUGCCUCAUUUGAUGGUAAUUGGCCCUCGUUAUGCCCCUGCUUUUCGAUUCUUACGACAUUGUGGUGCUAAGUUGACAUGGAAGUACUACCCAUGCUCUCCGCAAAUGCUUCGUGCCUCGUCGCGUAGCACUUACGGCCCUAUAGGCUACUACUCUUGUUUUCGGAUGCCAAACUUUCAAAGGAUGCAUGGUUUCUUGCUGUUGCUUACCCACAAAGCAUUCGUCCUUCGGUGCGUACGAUGGUCAUGCCUAUCUUGGUUUGUCUAACUAGCUUGGAUGGGCUCAUGUGGUGCUAGUGUCGUGAAGGAAUGCUACCUGGUUGAUCCUGCUAGUAGUCAUAUGUUUGUCUCAAAGAUUAAGCCAUGAAUAUGUAAGGAUGAACUAAUUCAGAUUGUGAAACUGCAAAUGGCUCAUUAAAUUAGUUAUAGUUUGUUUGAUAGUAUCUACUAGUUGGAUAACCAUAGUAUUUCUAGGGUUAAUAUGUGCAACAAGUCCCGACUUCCGAAAGGGAUGCAUUUAUUAGAUACAAGGUUAACGGGGGCUUAUCCCAUUGCUUUGAUGAUUCAUGAUAACUUGACGGAUCGCAAAGCCUUCUGUCAUAACCCGCAAUUUCAACGCCUAGUUGGCACCCCAUUGCGAUGGUGCCUGCAGAUGUUCACGCAAUGUGAUUUCUGCCUAGUGCUCUGAAUGUCAAAGUGAAGAAAUUCAACGAAGCGCGGGUAAAUAGUAUGAGUAACUAUGACUCUCUUAAGGUAGCCAAAUGCCUCGUCAUCUAAUUAGUGACGCGCAUGAAUGGAUUAACGAGGUUCUCACUUUCCUUAUCUACUAUCCAGCGAAACCAUAGCCAAGGAAACGGGUUUGGCAGAAAAUCAGUAGGGAAAGAAGACUCUGUUGAGCUUGACUCUAGUCCGACUUUGUGAAAUGACUUGAGAGGUUGUAAGACCAGAAACGGUGAAAGUGAAAUACCAAUACUUUCAACGUUAUUUCACUUAUUCCAUGAGUCGGAGGCGGCGCCCUACCCCUCAUUUUGGACCGAAGGCCUACCUCGGCGGGCUGAUCUGGGUAAAAGACAUUGUCUGGUGGGAAGUUUUGCUGGGGCCGCACAUCUGUUAAAAGAUAAUGCAUGCGUUCUAAGAUAAGCUCAACGAGAAUAAAAAUCUUGCGUGGAACAAAAGGGUAAAAGCUUGUUUGAUUCUACUUUCCAGUAUGAAUAUGAACUAUGAAAGUGUGGCCUAACGAUCCUUUAGACCUUCAGAAUUUGAAGUUAGAGGUGUCAGAAAAAUUACCACAGGGAUAACCGGCUUGUGGCAGCCAAGAGUUCAUAGCGACAUUGCUUUUUGAUCCUUCGAUGUCUACUAUUGCUAUCAAUGUGAAGUAGAAUUCACCAAGUGUUGGAUUGUUCCCCCACCAAUAGGGAACGUAAGUUGGGUUUAGAUUGUUGUGAGGCAAGUUUGUUUUACCCUACUAAGUGUCGCAAUAAUAAUUCAACCUAGUACGAGAGGAACCAUUGAUUUGCGCAAUUGGUCAUCGCGCUUGGUUGAAAAACUAGUGGCACGAAGCUACCAUGCACUUGAUUAUGGCUGAAUGCCUAGGUCGGAAUCCAGGUGAGAAACGAUGCAUGCGCCCGCUGUUCAUUUGCCGACCAACAGCAGGUGCCUUUUGGCCCCUAAAGGCACGUGUCGUAGGUGAAACUCAGGCGAUAAAUGAGCCCUCGGGCCAACUUAAAAGUAUAAUCCCUAUUGAGCAGUGAGUAGAAUCCUUUACAGAUGACUUAAAAACACGACGAGGUAUUGUAAGUGGCAGAGUGGCCUUGCUACCAUAAUCUAUUAAGAUUCAGCCCUUCAUCACUUUGAUUCGUUCCUCCCACCAGC